AUUAUCAUGACAGAAUAAAUGUAUUAAAUUUAGAAUUUAAUUAUAAUUGUUAAAUUUAUUAAUU
rnacentral:tRNA from 1 species